GCCGCGGGCGGCGCCACCGACCUCCCGGCGGGCCUCGCCACCGGAUCGCGCGGCAGGCACAAGGUCAUGGCCUUCGUCGGGAUCUUCACCGGGUUCGGCUCCGUCGGCCGCCGCCACGCGCUCAGGUGGACGUGGCUCCCCUCCGAUCGGCAGGGUCUCCUUUUGUUGGAGGAAGCUACUGGUCUGGCAUUCAGAUUUGUGAUCGGCAAAAGCAAUGACAAGUCUAAGAUGGCAGCUCUUGAAAGAGAGGUUGAAGAAUAUGAUGAUUUUGUGCUUUUAGAUCUUGAGGAGGAGUAUAGCAGGCUUCCAUACAAAACGUUAGCAUUCUUUAAGGCUGCCUAUGCGUUGUUCGAUUCUGAUUUCUAUGUUAAAGCUGAUGAUGACAUUUACUUGAGACCAGACCAACAUACACAAAUUUUAUUUUUGUAAGGUACACAUACACAAACAUACAUUGGAUGCAUGAAGAAGGGGCCUGUUUUUACUGAUCCCAAAUUGAAAUGGUAUGAGCCACAGUCCUUCCUACUUGGAUCAGAAUACUUCCUUCAUGCAUAUGGGCCUAUUUAUGCUUUAUCAGCUGAUGUGGUGGCAAGCUUAGUUGCUCUGAGAAACAACAGGUAA
rnacentral:rRNA from 1 species